rnacentral:rRNA from 1 species
AUUGAACGCUGGCGGCAGGCCUAACACAUGCAAGUCGAACGAGCGGCGGACGGGUGAGUAAUGUAUGGGGACUGCCCGAUAGAGGGGGAUAACUACUGGAAACGGUAGCUAAUACCGCAUACUAUCGGAUAACCCAGAUGGGAUUAGCUAGUAGGUGGGGUAAUGGCUCACCUAGGCGACGAUCCCUAGCUGGUCUGAGAGGAUGAUCAGCCACACUGGGACUGAGACACGGCCCAGACUCCUACGGAGGCAGCAGUGGGGAAUAUUGCACAAUGGGCGCAAGCCUGAUGCAGCCAUGCCGCGUGUAUGAAGAAGGCCUUCGGGUUGUAAAGUACUUUCAGUCGGGAGGCGUUACCGACAGAAGAAGCACCGGCUAACUCCGUGCCAGCAGCCGCGGUAAUUC